rnacentral:rRNA from 1 species
AUUGAACGCUGGCGGCAUGCUUUACACAUGCAAGUCGAACGGUAACAGGUCUUCGGAUGCUGACGAGUGGCGAACGGGUGAGUAAUGCAUCGGAACGUGCCCAGUCGUGGGGGAUAACGCAGCGAAAGCUGUGCUAAUACCGCAUACGAUCUAUGGAUGAAAGCGGGGGACUCGCAAGGGCCUCGCGCGAUUGGAGCGGCCGAUGUCAGAUUAGGUAGUUGGUGGGGUAAAGGCUCACCAAGCCAACGAUCUGUAGCUGGUCUGAGAGGACGACCAGCCACACUGGAACUGAGACACGGUCCAGACUCCUACGGGAGGCAGCAGUGGGGAAUUUUGGACAAUGGGCGCAAGCCUGAUCCAGCAAUGCCGCGUGCAGGAAGAAGGCCUUCGGGUUGUAAACUGCUUUUGUACGGAACGAAACGGUCCUGGUUAAUACCUGGGGCUAAUGACGGUACCGUAAGAAUAAGCACCGGCUAACUACGUGCCAGCAGCCGCGGUAAUACGUAGGGUGCAAGCGUUAAUCGGAAUUACUGGGCGUAAAGCGUGCGCAGGCGGUUUUGUAAGACAGUCGUGAAAUCCCCGGGCUCAACCUGGGAAUUGCGAUUGUGACUGCAAGGCUGGAGUGCGGCAGAGGGGGAUGGAAUUCCGCGUGUAGCAGUGAAACGCGUAGAUAUGCGGAGGAACACCGAUGGCGAAGGCAAUCCCCUGGGCCUGCACUGACGCUCAUGCACGAAAGCGUGGGGAGCAAACAGGAUUAGAUACCCUGGUAGUCCACGCCCUAAACGAUGUCAACUGGUUGUUGGGUCUCUUCUGACUCAGUAACGAAGCUAACGCGUGAAGUUGACCGCCUGGGGAGUACGGCCGCAAGGUUG